CCUACGGUGUGCAGCAGUGGGGGAUCUUGGGCAAUGGGCUCAAGCCUGACCCAGCAACGCCGCGUGAAGGAAGAAGGCUUUCGGGUUGUAAACUUCUUUUGUCAGGGAAGAGUAGAAGACGGUACCUGACGAAUAAGCCACGGCUAACUACGUGCCAGCAGCCGAGGUAAUACGUAGGUGGCAAGCGUUGUCCGGAUUUACUGGGUGUAAAGGGCGUGUAGCCGGGUUGACAAGUCAGAUGUGAAAUCCUGAGGCUUAACCGCAGAACUGCAUUUGACACUGUUGAUCUUGAGUACUGGAGAGGCAGACGGAAUUCCUAGUGUAGCGGUGAAAUGCGUAGAUAUUAGGAGGAACACCAGUGGCGAAGGCGGUCUGCUGGACAGCAACUGACGGUGAGGCGCGAAAGCGUGGGGAGCAAACAGGAUUAGAUACCCUUGUAGUC
rnacentral:rRNA from 1 species